CUUUUGGAGCUUGCCUCUGCCAAUGUACAAGGAACAACAAGCUACCAAGAAGUACAGCAAGUGGUCUUCCAGCUUCCCAGCUAGGCGGCAUGGCCCUUUCCCCAGGCAGGCCAGGAGCAACAAGAUGGGUCCCCUGCCAAGGAGCAGCAAGCCACAGGUGCUGGAGAUGGUACAUGUUUCCUCACCGCAAGUGACGUACAAAUCAGCUGAGGAGAAGGAAGCGGCAUUGCUGAAUCUCGUUGUGUGCCGGUGCCAUAUAUUUGAUCCAGAUUGGAGCUACAUCAGCAUGUGCCAGUUUUUCACAGGUCCAGAGGAUUCAAGCUUCAAGACGAAGGCCACGAAGUGCGCAUGGAGAGGACUGGAACUCAGAGAACCUGCCUGGUUGGACCAAGCCCCCAAGUGAUCUGCUUACUUACAGUCUCUCCGUGGAACCCUGCACUCCAGCUCCAGUUGAACACUCUGGAGUGAACUGGUUUCCUCAGGACAAUUUCUCGUUACCGAUUCACAGAAGAGAAGGUCUACCUUUUAUAUAUUCUCACCAAACAAGAAUAUAUUUUAUUGAAUUUUAUUUUCUUAUUCCUUUGUAUGAAAACAAUAGACUUUUGAUUUGUUUCCUAAAUACACAAUGUUAA
rnacentral:lncRNA from 1 species